rnacentral:tRNA from 1 species
GCCAUGUUGGCAGAACAUAAGUGCGAUAAGUUAUAGACUUAUACAUUGGGAGGACCUCACUUGGCA